UUGAUUAAAAUAAUAUUAACUUAUUUCUAUUUAAAGAGUUUUUUGGAGAAUAAUUUUUUUUUUUUACUCUUCUAUUUGCCACAAAGGUGAACAAAUAAAUAUUUGAAGAGUGAAAUUUAUAAAGACUUUUGAAGAUGCUCUAAUGUUUUUUUAUAGUUUAAUGAACUAAAGUUUCUGCUUUCUUGUCAUUUAGUUUGUCCUUAAUACUUACAAUUUUAGCUAUAAUUGAAAUUACAUUCAAGGAUAGACAAAAUAUUUAAUUUAACUCACAUGUUAAAUACACAUAUUUUAAAAAAAAUGAAAUACAUUCGUUUUUGUUAAAAACUCCUUAUACAACACAUGUUAUACAUAUUAUUUGCUAUUUUUUUUUUCAUUGUUUUUAAACCAAGACUGAGAAAGUAUACGAUAACCCACAUCAUUUAGGAAAGAUGUGAAUGAUGAGCUUUUAAGGAAUGUGAAAUGACCACCCUUGACCAACAAGGGUAUGUUUGGCGGGCAGGUCUAUAAGGGUCUGUAUUGUAAUAUAAUUCAGACCCACGUUUGGCUGCAAAAAAAUAAUUAUACUGGUUUG
rnacentral:lncRNA from 1 species